UACGGCUGUAUCACAUUGAAACACCGGUUCUCAUACGAUCACCGAAGUUAAGCAACGUCACGCCUGUUCAGUACCUAGAUGGGUGACCGCUUGAGGAUAUCAGGUGCUGUAAG